rnacentral:rRNA from 1 species
GUCCGGCGAUUGAAGCGGGAAGAGCUCAAAUUUGAAAUCUGGUAGCCUUCGGUUGCCCGAGUUGUAAUCUAGAGAAGUGUUUUCCGUGCCGGCCCAUGUACAAGUCCCUUGGAACAGGGCGUCAUAGAGGGUGAGAAUCCCGUCCUUGACAUGGACCCCCGGUGCUUUGUGAUACACUUUCAACGAGUCGAGUGGUGGGGAAUGCAGCUCAAAAUGGGUGGUGAAUUCCAUCUAAAGCUAAAUAUUGGCGAGAGACCGAUAGCGAACAAGUACCGUGAGGGAAAGAUGAAAAGCACUUUGGAAAGAGAGUUAAACAGUUACCGGUUGAAAAUUGUUGAAAGGGAAACGAUUGAAGUCAGUCGAUGCUCUUAGGAUUCAGGCGUUCUGCGGUGUAUAUCCAUUUU